rnacentral:lncRNA from 1 species
UUAUUACAGCUAGCAGAUAUUUAAUAAUGUUAGCACAGGUCUUUGAAUAAAUUUUGCUUCUAAGAAAAGUUACUAUUUACUCCUAAUUAGACGGAGACGAAAGUCUUUGAAGAGGAACCUCUACUUUACUUUUUACAAAGAUGUCAUGAAAAAGGAAUGCUAUUAAAAAAUCGGAGACAAACAAAGGCUCCUAGAAAUUAAAAAUUAAGUUAGAUCAUCUGAAAUUAAAAUUUUAAAUUAAGAUGAGGAGAUAUAAUGAAGUUUCCCACUAAAUAAUAUGAAAAAACAAAAUUAAAAACCAAAAAAAUGGAAUGGACAAUAACAGGGCCCACUGAAUAUCCAAAUGAUGAGUUCAAAAAGACCCUCACGAAGACAUAGACUCAUGAAAUUUCAGAACACUGAAGAAAAUGAAAGAGGAAAAAGAAAAAGAAGAAAAAAUAUGUCAUAUCAAAAGGAUCAGGUAUCACAAUAGCUGUUGAUCUUCUCAUCAACAAUGGAACAAAGACUUUAAAUUUCUGAAAGAAAGCAAAGAGUAGAUGUGCUCCACCAAAAUGAAGGAAUAAACUAAGAACUCUGAGGAUGGCAUGGGAUCCAACACAGGAAAGAGAAGCCAUGAAGCAAAUCUACUGCAUGAGAUUGUGCACUUUGACCUCUGCUGAGCAGGUGAGAGCAGGGCUAAGACUCAGCUGCUCCCCAAGCCAAGAUACUCAUGGAACUAAGCCUGGGCACGAUUUCUCAUUGGCCUACAUAGAGAGGAUCCUUUUUGCAACUGGACUUAUCAGAGGACGUACCUUUUAUCUAGUUCACAGAAGAUGCUCUAUAUCCUAGUUGCACUUCUGAUUGUCUGCCUAAAUAAGUCUCUAUUUUAAUAUUUUGAUUAAUUUGCAUUUGGACAAAACUAUAAGACUAUGAGCAGUGCUCUAAUCUGUAAGAUCAUGACCUAUAUUUACAGAUUAAUGACAAAUGUCCAGUG